UACGGGGGGGGCAAGCGUUGUUCGGAAUUACUGGGCGUAAAGGGCUCGUAGGUGGCCAACUAAGUCAGACGUGAAAUCCCUCGGCUUAACCGGGGAACUGCGUCUGAUACUGGAUGGCUUGAGUUCGGGAGAGGGAUGCGGAAUUCCAGGUGUAGCGGUGAAAUGCGUAGAUAUCAGGAGGAACACCGGUGGCGAAGGCGCACAUCUGGCCCGAUACUGACGCUGAGGCGCGAAAGCUAGGGGAGCAAACGGG
rnacentral:rRNA from 1 species